rnacentral:sRNA from 1 species
GUUGGUUCUUUCAUGGCGGCUGGCAAUGGAGUUUUAUUUACGCACACAAUGGCAUAUUGUUUUAUUGGGAACACUUAUCUUGUCUUCUCUCCUUCUCUCUGAAUGUGACUGCAAUACGUGGACCAUUUGCAUCUGUUUCUAACGGAAACUCCAAAGCCUUACAAUUAUCACAGAUUCGACUAACUCUAUUCCCCUGCUUUUAUAUGAGGACUUCUACAGAGGAGACCUCUAAUUGCAAAAGUGUUAUGAUGCUUAGUAUCGUAGCAGGGCUGGAUUAAUUGCCUUCUACAUUGUAUCACGGAUAGCACUGACCUUUAACCUCAGAAUUGAACAUAAUCAUGAACUAUAUUAAUGAAGGUUGCCUGUAUACAUGUAGUUAAAGACACAUGCAUUGCUGAACGUGUUCAUGAUCAUAUGAAGUACACUCUUCUCCGCCUUUAGCGUAUUUACUUCGGAAUCUCUAUACAUUUCUUGGUACAGUACUUCAUGGAGUAAAAAUUCCAACUGAUCUUUAUAAUUGAAAAAUGUAAAAUGGUGCUUCACAAAAUACGUACUUUUCGAAAUUUAUUUUUGCAAAGUACAUUUUUUUGGAACCAGGUCAAAGUACUAGUAUUAUGAGAGCGAGUUUAACAUAAGCAUUUUGGUGUGUUUUGCAAUCUCGAGCUCCUAUGUACUGUUAUUAUAAUAUGUAUGAUGUUAAUUACUAAUUGAUAUUACUUAAACU